UCCGACCAAUCAAAUAUUAUAUAACAACUUGCUUACUUUGCAAAAUUUAUAAAUAUUACUCACAACUAUAACAUUAUAACAAAUUCAAUCCUUAAUAUUCAAAAAUGAUAUUUAUAGAAAAAUUCAUCUUUAUUCAUAAAAGUUGGGGUCUUACAGCAACUAAGAAUCAAGAAGGCACCAAGCCUCAGCAAUAUUUAGGUGUACCAUAUGAAAAUUAUAUGCUCAAAUCCGAAAAAAAUGCAUACAUGACACAUCACCUGAGGCAUCUGCCAUGCUCCUGAAACUUUCAAUCUAGAAGCCACAAAGACCUGCAAGUUAAUCAUAUAAAGGUUAUUGUUCUUCCUUGCUUAUAACUAAGAAUGGAUAACUAACUCCAUUGGAUUGCUAUUUCUUCACCGAUCUAACCUCUCAUAGACUAAAAUGAGGUCAUGAUGCCCAAACUCAAUCAGAACAUAAAAGUAAAUAUAAUGCACAUCUAAAAAUAAACUAUUAUCAACAACAUAAAACCAAGAUUUAGAAACAUAGUUACCCUAAAUUCAGAUAAUCAAGACCAACAAUUAAUGUGUAAUUUCCAGUUUUACAUGUCCAAGAAAAUCUUACAGUAGUAUAAUUCAAUUAAGACAAACCAUUCUAGAAGCAGAAAGACAAAAAGAAAUACUGAUGUGAGUACUAAAUGCUAUUGUUCCUGCACGUACAAAUACUUAUGUGAGUACUAAAUUUUUAUUUCUUCAAUUCAAGAACUUAUAUUAUGAGUAUGAGGAAAUGCAUGAUUUUGCUAAUGCAAUAGUACUAUUUAGUACCAUGUUAAUUUGAAUCAACAUGCUUUCAGAAUUUUAUCCCAUGGAGGGAGGCAUUAGAAAUAUUUGAGAGCGCGCUAAACAUUGCCAACCUUGGUAUCAGCUUGAUUUCGUGUUCCAUUAUCUAAGGCAUCUAAACCAAGUGGUUGAGCUUCACAUAUAAAUAAAUGUCUGAUGAGUAAUAAAGCUCGACGGAAAGAGGUGCAACAGGUCAUCUUUUGGCCAGGAGGGCUAUUAAUUUUCUUUGUAAUAGUUGAUUUUGUUUAUGUACUUUAAGUUCAGUAUAUGGUUUUAUUUCUGGGUGUAAAACUCUAUGUAAGACUUGGCUUUGCUAUAUUUAUAUAUGUUCAUGCAUAUUCUAAAAAAACCAUGACCCAAAGCAAAUCAAAAUUUUACACACCUUACACAAUCUUCAUAGCUGCCCAUAUCAAUUCUGUCUGGAGUGAUUGAUUCUGGAGAUUUGGUUGUCCAAUGGCUUUCUCUUCUUAUCCGUCGUUCAAACUGAAGUGGAACGACAUUUAGUUGAUAUCAUGCAGUACCUUCAGUAUUUUCCGCAACAAAUAUAGAAACAAGAUAUAUUCAAUUUCAAACAUCCUGAAUGUCGUGUACAUAAUUUUACUUGUGGUCUAAAUGAAAUAAACAAAUAUGCCCGAGAAAUUCAGUAAUUUACAGCUUGUACACCAUCUUUGCAACUAUAUUUGACAAUAAGGUUACAAUGUGUUUGGGAGCAUAGAUCAAGUUCUAAAAAUGGAGAAAAUUGGCUUAAAAGUUUCAAUUAUGGUGCCACCAUUAUUAAUUCUAGCACAUAUUCACACAUACCAUUAAUAACCAAAAUAUAAUAUUAAUCAAUUAAAAUAGACAGGAAAAGAAUUUGCAGGCCAAAGAGAUAUUGGAUCAAAUACUUAGCAUACUUUCAAGUAAAUGAAAAGGAAAAAUCACAAAAACAAAAAUAGAAAAAGAAAACAGGCUGAAAAUUAAAGGAGCUUUUACUGGCAUAAUGAUCUUCUCUGGUAUUAUUUGGUUUUCAGUUAUUUGAAAGGCCUCACGGCGUAUAUGUCACCGACUAAUUGCUAAGAGAAAGUAACUUGGAGUGACUACAAACACUCUUCAUCUUGCUGAUAUUUACAGAAAAACAAACUCCAUACAGUAGAAACUGAGAAAUGCCACCCUAAAGUACCUAACAAUGUCUUCAAUUACUACCCCUGUGGCAUUAAAAGAAAACAAGAAGAAAAGUAAUAUUUUUCAUUCUAAUUUUAAAUUUCCUGUCCUCACUAAUUUAAAUUUAUCCCAGCUUCUAAAUUAAUGCCAUCAAACAAGUCUAAAUGCAUGAAGUCAGAUUCUAUAGUAUUUACCAUUUCCAUGUUGCAUAUUCUAAAUAAAACCCAAAAACUAUUAAAAUAUUUUAACAACAUUUUAUAUAGCUAUCAAAUACCAAAAAAAGGCUAAAUGCAUGACAUCAGAUUCUAUAGUAAAAACCAUUUCCAUAUUGCAUAUUCUAAAUAAAACUCAAAAACUAUUAAAACAUUUUAACAACAUUUCAUAUAGCUAUCAAAUACCUUCUUAUUAAAUUAAUUUCCCAGGAAAAAAAUCACAGAUAGGAUGGAAAGACAAAAUAAUAAGUCUACAAGUUUAAUCUAACAAAUGUAAGGCUAAUAAGAGGGCUGAUUAGUCUUAUGCUCAAAUAUAUAAAUUACCCAAAAUAUUAUUAACAAAAAUAUUAUUAACCAUUAGCAGGGUUUUUUUCCCAACUUACAUCCGUGACAUAUACGCCGUGAGGCCUUCUCUGGUAAAAGGAGUUGCAUUAUUAUUAUGGGCAUGAAUGUGGUGCUUGAAGCUUAUUGUGGUAACUCAAUCUCAAAGAACUAGCAGCACCAGGAGUGGGUUUAAAAAUCAUUAUAGUGUGUUGCAAUAUCUAUUUUAGAAGUGGAUCACAAUCCAAGCUAUAUUUGAUUUUAUGUCACCAAAACGAGAGGAUGUGAUUUGAUUUUAUUCGAAGUGACCAAAUUUGAUUAUAAGAACUGCUUUGAGCAGCAAAAGGAUACAGUAAUAUAAGUACUCCCUCCAUUCCACAAAAAAAUUCCAGUUUGCACAAAAGAAAAAUUCUACAAAAAGAGUUCCAUUUUAUUAAUAGUAGUAUAAAAUGACAAGACGACCUCAAGUCUGUCAUCAUGAUUUCAUUAUCACGCCACUACUACUUAGCUAACAAUUUUUUUAUUUUAGGAGUAAACAUGAAACAAAUGUACAUCCUUAACAUUUGCAAAUGGAAGUCUUUUUGUGAAACGGAUGGAGUAUAAUACAGAUCAUGUGCCUAGCUAGCAAGUAGCCUGCUGUUAGUGUUUGAGAACUAGCAAGAGAAUCGUCUCUAUUUCUUCAAAACAGAGACUGAAUUCAUAUAGCAUAUGUAUCUAUAUACCACAAUUGAAGUGAUUUUCAUUAUAAAUGCAACACUUUUCACUUUAAGAUACAAAGAUACACUCCUCAACAUGGAGUACAAAACUAAAAAAAAAAAGUAAAUUAACCGGCACAAAAAUCACAGCCAAGUAGAUUAGGCACAAUAAUGGAAAGAAGAGUAAAGCAGAGAAUGCACCUGAUCAAAGGCGAAAUCAAAUACAUGGCGGAGAUGAGAGUAACUGGUAAGCAAGAUUUAAUCCCUGUAAAGCCUGUAAAGCUGAGUACACAAAUCCGAUCACGUUCACUGUCAAACAUUACCUGCCCAAUUUAUCCUAACACUCAAAGUCACCUACAAAUUAAUGCACAAAUAUAGAGAGUGGAAAAGAGAAGAGAUUAAUUAACCUGAAUUCAAUGUACUGGUCGAAGAAAUCAAGAGCCCAGCCCUUUCUCCGGUCAGCAGCCAUCACUGAGAAAAAAUCAAACAGAACACAAAUCUAAAAACCCUAAACUCUAACGUCGCCUUCUUCACCGCGAUCCUCCUCCUCAUCUAUUCAGCAAACAUUAAGAAGAAGAAGAAGAUUAGAU
rnacentral:lncRNA from 1 species